rnacentral:rRNA from 1 species
GGAUGAACGCUAGCGGGAGGCUUAACACAUGCAAGUCGAGGGGCAGCAUUUACUUCGGUAAGAUGGCGACCGGCGAACGGGUGCGUAACGCGUAUGCAACCUACCUUAUACAAAAGGAUAGCCCAUGGAAACGUGGAUUAACACUUUAUGGUACUAUAAAACUUCCUGGUUUAAUAGUUAAAACUUCGGUGGUAUAAGAUGGGCAUGCGUAGGAUUAGGUAGUUGGUGAGGUAACAGCUCACCAAGCCGACGAUCCUUAGGGGUUCUGAGAGGAUUAUCCCCCACACUGGUACUGAGACACGGACCAGACUCCUACGGGAGGCAGCAGUGAGGAAUAUUGGGCAAUGGAGGCAACUCUGACCCAGCCAUCCCGCGUGCAGGAUGACGGCCCUAUGGGUUGUAAACUGCUUUUAUUUACCAAGAAACCCCAUCACGUGUGAUGGCUUGACGGUAGUAUAUGAAUAAGGACCGGCUAACUCCGUGCCAGCAGCCGCGGUAAUACGGAGGGUCCAAGCGUUAUCCGGAUUCAUUGGGUUUUAAAGGGUCCGUAGGCGGUCUUUUAAGUCAGUGGUGAAAUCCCAGAGCUCAACUCUGGAACUGCCAUUGAAACUGAAAGACUUGAAUAUGGUUGAGGUAGGCGGAAUACGUUAUGUAGCGGUGAAAUGCAUAGAUAUAACGUAGAACACCAAUUGCGAAGGCAGCUUACUAAACCAUUAUUGACGCUGAUGGACGAAAGCGUGGGGAGCGAACAGGAUUAGAUUGGUAGUCCACGCCGUAAACGAUGAUUACUCGUUGUGCACAAUACACCGUGCGUGACUGAGCGAAAGCAUUAAGUAAUCCACCUGGGGAGUACGUUCGCAAGAAUGAAACUCAAAGGAAUUGACGGGGGCCCGCACAAGCGGAGGAACAUGUGGUUUAAUUCGAUGAUACGCGAGGAACCUUACCUGGACUUAAAUGUAGAUUGAUCGGUUUAGAAAUAGACUUUUCUUCGGAACUAUCUACAAGGUGCUGCAUGGUUGUCGUCAGCUCGUGCCGUGAGGUGUCGGGUUAAGUCCCAUAACGAGCGCAACCCCUAUCGUUAGUUGCUAGCAGGUAAUGCUGAGGACUCUAGCGAGACUGCCACCGUAAGGUGUGAGGAAGGUGGGGAUGACGUCAAAUCAGCACGGCCCUUAUGUCCAGGGCUACACACGUGUUACAAUGGUCGGUACAAAGGGCAGCUACUUGGCAACAAGAUGCUAAUCUCUAAAGCCGAUCCCAGUUCGGAUUGGAGUCUGCAACCCGACUCCAUGAAGUUGGAUUCGCUAGUAAUCGGAUAUCAGCCAUGAUCCGGUGAAUACGUUCCCGGGCCUUGUACACACC